AACGAACGCUGGCGGCAUGCCUAACACAUGCAAGUCGAACGAAGGCUUCGGCCUUAGUGGCGCACGGGUGCGUAACGCGUGGGAAUCUGCCCUUGGCUUCGGAAUAACAGUUAGAAAUGACUGCUAAUACCGGAUGAUUUCGCAAGACCAAAGAUUUAUCGGCCAGGGAUGAGCCCGCGUAGGAUUAGGUAGUUGGUGGGGUAAAGGCCUACCAAGCCGACGAUCCUUAGCUGGUCUGAGAGGAUGAUCAGCCACACUGGGGCUGAGACACGGCCCAGACUCCUACGGGAGGCAGCAGUGGGGAAUAUUGGACAAUGGGGGCAACCCUGAUCCAGCAAUGCCGCGUGAGUGAUGAAGGCCUUAGGGUUGUAAAGCUCUUUUACCCGGGAUGAUAAUGACAGUACCGGGAGAAUAAGCUCCGGCUAACUCCGUGCCAGCCGCCGCCGUAA
rnacentral:rRNA from 1 species